rnacentral:rRNA from 1 species
UACGUAGGGUCCGAGCGUUGUCCGGAGUUACUGGGCGUAAAGCGCGCGCAGGCGGCGGUGUUGGCCCGGCGUGAAAGCCCCCGGCUCAACCGGGGAGAGUCGUCGGGGACCGCACCGCUUGAGGGCGGUAGGGGCUGGUGGAAUGCCUGGUGUAGUGGUGAAAUGCGCAGAUAUCAGGAGGAACACCGAUGGCGAAGGCGGAUCUCUGGGCCAUUACUGACGCUGAGGAGCGAAAGCGUGGGGAGCGAACAGG